GAGCACUGUUUCGGCAAGGGGGUCAUCCCGACUUACCAACCCGAUGCAAACUGCGAAUACCGGAGAAUGUUAUCACGGGAGACACACGGCGGGUGCUAACGUCCGUCGUGAAGAGGGAAACAACCCAGACCGCCAGCUAAGGUCCCAAAGUCAUGGUUAAGUGGGAAACGAUGUGGGAAGGCCCAGACAGCCAGGAUGUUGGCUUAGAAGCAGCCAUCAUUUAAAGAAAGCGUAAUAGCUCACUGGUCGAGUCGGCCUGCGCGGAAGAUGUAACGGGGCUAAACCAUGCACCGAAGCUGCGGCAGCGACGCUGAUGCGUUGUUGGGUAGGGGAGCGUUCUGUAAGCCUGUGAAGGUGUGCUGUGAGGCAUGCUGGAGGUAUCAGAAGUGCGAAUGCUGACAUAAGUAACGAUAAAGCGGGUGAAAAGCCCGCUCGCCGGAAGACCAAGGGUUCCUGUCCAACGUUAAUCGGGGCAGGGUGAGUCGACCCCUAAGGCGAGGCCGAAAGGCGUAGUCGAUGGGAAACAGGUUAAUAUUCCUGUACUUGGUGUUACUGCGAAGGGGGGACGGAGAAGGCUAUGUUGGCCGGGCGACGGUUGUCCCGGUUUAAGCGUGUAGGCUGGUUUUCCAGGCAAAUCCGGAAAACUAAGGCUGAGGCGUGAUGACGAGGCACUACGGUGCUGAAGCAACAAAUGCCCUGCUUCCAGGAAAAGCCUCUAAGCAUCAGGUAACAUCAAAUCGUACCCCAAACCGACACAGGUGGUCAGGUAGAGAAUACCAAGGCGCUUGAGAGAACUCGGGUGAAGGAACUAGGCAAAAUGGUGCCGUAACUUCGGGAGAAGGCACGCUGAUAUGUAGGUG
rnacentral:rRNA from 1 species